AAAGGAGAAAGCAAUGAUAUUCUAGUCUUGGGAACUCUUAUCAAAUACAUUCGACCCGUGUUUGUAUCUCGAUCAGAUCAGGAUUCCCGAAGAAAAACUGUUGAGGAAAUAAGACGACGUGCUCAGUCAAAUGGCAAAUGGCCACAGAUAAUGAUAUUCCCAGAAGGAACCUGCACUAAUAGAUCCUGUCUAAUUACCUUCAAACCUGGUAAGUUUGUCUGAUAUCUUUCUCUCCAAUGUAAUGUAUGCGUAAUGUCAAAUUUUGAAAUGUGCAAUUAAUUGCUCACUGUACCAUACAACUACGUCAUAUUUUAAGCAAACACAUGUUCCUUUUGU